rnacentral:rRNA from 1 species
GAUGAACGCUGGCGGCGUGCCUAAUACAUGCAAGUCGAGCGAACAGACGAGGAGCUUGCUCCUCUGACGUUAGCGGCGGACGGGUGAGUAACACGUGUAUAACCUACCUAUAAUACUGGUAUAACUUCGGGAAACCGGAGCUAAUACCGGAUAAUAUAUUGAACCGCAUUGUUCAAUAGUGAAAGACGGUUUUGCUGGCAGUUCUAGAUGGAUCCGCGCCGCAUGAGCUAGUUGGGAAGUUAACGGCUUACCAAGGCGUCGAUGCGUAGCCGACCGGAGAGGGUGAUAGGCCGCACUAGAACUGAGACACGGACCAGGGUACUACGGGAGGCAGCAGAAGGGAACCGUCCGCAAUGGGCGAAAGCAUGACGGAGCAACGCGGAGCGAGUGAUGACGAUCUUCGGAUCGUAAAACUCUGUUAUUAGUGAUGAACCACUGUGUAAGUAAAUAUGCACGUCUUGACGGUACCUAAUCAGAAAGCCACGGCUAACUACGUG